UACGAAGGGGCUAGCGUUGCUCGGAAUUACUGGCGUAAAGCGCACGUAGGCGGCUUCUUAAGUCGGUGGUGAAAUCCUGGAGCUCAACUCCAGAACUGCCUUCGAUACUGAGAAGCUCGAGUCCGGGAGAGGUGAGUGGAACUGCGAGUGUAGAGGUGAAAUUCGUAGAUAUUCGCAAGAACACCAGUGGCGAAGGCGGCUCACUGGCCCGGUACUGACGCUGAGGUGCGAAAGCGUGGGGAGCAAACAGGG
rnacentral:rRNA from 1 species